rnacentral:rRNA from 1 species
UACGUAGGGUGCAAGCGUUAAUCGGAAUUACUGGGCUAAAGCGUGCGCAGGCGGUUUUGUAAGUCUGUCGUGAAAUCCCCGGGCUCAACCUGGGAAUUGCGAUGGAGACUGCAAGGCUAGAAUCUGGCAGAGGGGGGUGAGAAUUCCACGUGUAGCAGUGAAAUGCGUAGAGAUGUGGAGGAACACCGAUGGCGAAGGCAGCCCCCUGGGCGUAACACUGACGCUCAUGCACGAAAGCGUGGGGAGCAAACGAGG